rnacentral:rRNA from 1 species
GACGAACGCUGGCGGCGUGCCUAAUACUUGCAAGUAGAACGCUGAAGAGAGGAGCUUGCUCUUCUUGGAUGAGUUGCGAACGGGUGAGUAACGCGUAGGUAACCUGCCUUGUAGCGGGGGAUAACUAUUGGAAACGAUAGCUAAUACCGCAUAACAAUGGAUGACACAUGUCAUUUAUUUGAAAGGGGCAAUUGCUCCACUACAAGAUGGACCUGCGUUGUAUUAGCUAGUAGGUGAGGUAAUGGCUCACCUAGGCGACGAUACAUAGCCGACCUGAGAGGGUGAUCGGCCACACUGGGACUGAGACACGGCCCAGACUCCUACGGGAGGCAGCAGUAGGGAAUCUUCGGCAAUGGGGGCAACCCUGACCGAGCAACGCCGCGUGAGUGAAGAAGGUUUUCGGAUCGUAAAGCUCUGUUGUAAGUCAAGAACGGGUGUGAGAGUGGAAAGUUCACACUGUGACGGUAGCUUACCAGAAAGGGACGGCUAACUACGUG